UACGUAGGGGGCAAGCGUUGUCCGGAAUCAUUGGGCGUAAAGCGCACGUAGGCGGCUUUGUAAGUUAGAGGUGAAAGCCCGGGGCUCAACUCCGGAAUUGCCUUUAAGACUGCAUCGCUAGAAUUGUGGAGAGGUAAGUGGAAUUCCGAGUGUAGAGGUGAAAUUCGUAGAUAUUCGGAAGAACACCAGUGGCGAAGGCGACUCGCUGGACAGGUAUUGACGCUGAGGUGCGAAAGCGUGGGGAGCAAACAGG
rnacentral:rRNA from 1 species